GACGAACGCUGGCGGCGUGCUUAAUACAUGCAAGUCGAACGGAAAGGCCCCAGCUUGCUGGGGUACUCGAGUGGCGAACGGGUGAGUAACACGUGGGUGAUCUGCCCUGCACUCUGGGAUAAGCCUGGGGAACUGGGUCUAAUACCGGAUAGGACCGUUUUUUAGUCUGUGCGGUGGAAAGUUUUUCGGUGCUGGAUGAGCUCGCGGCCUAUUGGCUUGUUGGUGGGGUAAUGGCCUACAAAGUCGGAGACGGGUAGCCUGCCUCGGAGGGUGUACGGCCACAUUGGGCCUAAGACAGGGCCCAGACUCCUACGGGAGGCAGUAGUGGGGAAUAUUGCACAGUGGGCGCAAGCCUGAUGCGGCGACGCCGCGUGGGGGAUGACGGCCUUCGAGUUGUAAACCCCUUUCGGCAGGGACGAAGAUUUUGUGACGGUACCUGCAUAGGAAGCACCGGCUAACUACGUG
rnacentral:rRNA from 1 species